GUCUCUCAUACAUUAACCAACAAAUAGCACAAUCAAAAUCCUGAGACAUAAAUGCUUGCUUUUUUAAUCAUGGUAAGCAAUCAUUGUCAUAAGAAUAAGAGAAUAGGAAUAAGUAAGAUCAUAAGAGUGUAUCUUAAUCUCUAACCUUUGGCUUUGUCUGGCGAAAAAUCAAAAUCAAGUUCAAGUCACUGGAAACAAGUGGAUGCACAAUAGAAGCAUUUUUUCCUUUCAGUUACAUUCUUGAUUUCUUCUAUUUGAUAGACUUUUUGUACUUAUGAUGCGAAUGUCAUGACAUUGAUGGGUUAUAUCAAAACAGAACCAGGUAUUGAAUCUUUUUCAAAUGGGAAAUAGGUGGAGUAGCAUUUAAGGUAAGUUUUGCCAUAUUUUCCAAGGACCUCCUCUUGAAAAGUAUCGUUUCUUGUUAUUAAUUUCCAUUUUGUCUUUCUUAACCUCAGUUGACGAGUACACAUUCCAUAAUGAAUAAUGAUUUGCCAUUCAACUUGCAAUGAUCAAUAGAAUUACCAAUAAGUUUGAUCUCAUACAUGCCAAUAGGUUUAAGUUUGAUCUCAUAAUAAAUUGAGGCAGAAAUCAUGAUUACAGACAAUCCAUAAAUACAUAGCAAAUUUUGCAGCAGCAAAAACAAAAUAAUCAUUAAAAGGAGAAUCAGAGAUUACAUACGAGAUGAGAUGGAGGUUUGCUAGAAAACGGAAACGAUAUCGAUGUCCUUUUGCUCAGAGCCCGCUAGCUAUGAGUGCUGUUUGCGCCAAAUCGGUGGGUG
rnacentral:lncRNA from 1 species